GGGUGACGAGUGGCGGACGGGUGAGUAAUGUCUGGGAAACUGCCCGAUGGAGGGGGAUAACUACUGGAAACGGUAGCUAAUACCGCAUAACGUCGCAAGACCAAAGAGGGGGACCUUCGGGCCUCUUGCCAUCGGAUGUGCCCAGAUGGGAUUAGCUAGUAGGUGGGGUAACGGCUCACCUAGGCGACGAUCCCUAGCUGGUCUGAGAGGAUGACCAGCCACACUGGAACUGAGACACGGUCCAGACUCCUACGGGAGGCAGCAGUGGGGAAUAUUGCACAAUGGGCGCAAGCCUGAUGCAGCCAUGCCGCGUGUGUGAAGAAGGCCUUCGGGUUGUAAAGUACUUUCAGCGAGGAGGAAGGUG
rnacentral:rRNA from 1 species